rnacentral:rRNA from 1 species
UACGUAGGGUGCAGGCGUUAAUCGGAAUUACUGGGCGUAAAGCGUGCGCAGGCGGUUUCUUAAGUCAGAUGUGAAAGCCCCGGGCUUAACCUGGGAACUGCGUUUGAAACUGGGAGACUUGAGUGUGGCAGAGGGGGGUGGAAUUCCACGUGUAGCAGUGAAAUGCGUAGAUAUGUGGAGGAACACCGAUGGCGAAGGCAGCCCUCUGGGUUAACACUGACGCUCAUGCACGAAAGCGUGGGGAGCAAACAGG